AAACAUCUAAGUACCCCGAGGAAAAGAAAUCAACCGAGAUUCCCCCAGUAGCGGCGAGCGAACGGGGAGGAGCCCAGAGCCUGAAUCAGCAUGUGUGUUAGUGGAAGCGUCUGGAAAGGCGCGCGAUACAGGGUGACAGCCCCGUACACAAAAGCGCAUGUGCUGUGAGCUCGAUGAGUAGGGCGGGACACGUGGUAUCCUGUCUGAAUAUGGGGGGACCAUCCUCCAAGGCUAAAUACUCCUGACUGACCGAUAGUGAACCAGUACCGUGAGGGAAAGGCGAAAAGAACCCCGGCGAGGGGAGUGAAAAAGAACCUGAAACCGUGUACGUACAAGCAGUGGGAGCACAGGUUUACCUGUGUGACUGCGUACCUUUUGUAUAAUGGGUCAGCGACUUAUAUUCUGUAGCAAGGUUAACCGAAUAGGGGAGCCGGAGGGAAACCGAGUCUUAAUUGGGCGUUAAGUUGCAGGGUAUAGACCCGAAACCCGGUGAUCUAGCCAUGGGCAGGUUGAAGGUUGGGUAACACUAACUGGAGGACCGAACCGACUAAUGUUGAAAAAUUAGCGGAUGACCUGUGGCUGGGGGUGAAAGGCCAAUCAAACCGGGAGAUAGCUGGUUCUCCCCGAAAGCUAUUUAGGUAGCGCCUCGUGAAUUCAUCUCCGGGGGUAGAGCACUGUUUCGGCUAGGGGGCCAUCCCGGCUUACCAACCCGAUGCAAACUGCGAAUACCGGAGAAUGUUAUCACGGGAGACACACGGCGGGUGCUAACGUCCGUCGUGAAGAGGGAAACAACCCAGACCGCCAGCUAAGGUCCCAAAGUCAUGGUUAAGUGGGAAACGAUGUGGGAAGGCCCAGACAGCCAGGAUGUUGGCUUAGAAGCAGCCAUCAUUUAAAGAAAGCGUAAUAGCUCACUGGUCGAGUCGGCCUGCGCGGAAGAUGUAACGGGGCUAAACCAUGCACCGAAGCUGCGGCAGCGAACGUAUCACCCAAGACAACUUUACGGAGUUGACGAUUGACGGAGCGAAGCGACGUCAAAGCGUUCAUUAAAGUCGAGUUGGCUUAGGGAUACGUUCGUUGGGUAGGGGAGCGUUCUGUAAGCCUGUGAAGGUGUGUCGUGAGGC
rnacentral:rRNA from 1 species